GUGGGGAAUAUUGGACAAUGGGCGAAAGCCUGAUCCAGCCAUGCCGCGUGGGUGAAGAAGGUCUUCGGGUUGUAAAGCACUUUAAGUUGGGAGGAAGGGCAGUAAGUUAAUACCUUGCUGUUUUGACGUUACCGACAGAAUAAGCACCGGCUAACUUCGUGCCAGCAGCCGCGGUAAUACGAAGGGUGCAAGCGUUAAUCGGAAUUACUGGGCGUAAAGCGCGCGUAGGUGGUUUUGUAAGUUGGAGGUGAAAUCCACGGGCUCAACCUGGGAACUGCCGUCAAAACUGCCUGACUAGAGUACGGUAGAGGGUAGUGGAAUUCCCUGUGUAGCGGUGAAAUGCGUAGAUAUAGGAAGGAACACCAGUGGCGAAGGCGACUACCUGGACUGAUACUGACGCUGAGGUGCGAAAGCGUGGGGAGCAAACAGGAUUAGAUACCCUAGUAGUCC
rnacentral:rRNA from 1 species